CACUUCCUAACACAGCCUAAUCACGGCUACAUCAGAUAAUGUCGGCAUUAAUGUCCACCCCCCCACCUGCUGUUAUCCCCACCUCCCGCUCCGACUCAGCGUGUGUGCGCACAGAUUACAGUGACAAGUUCCACUCUAAAGGAACUGUGGCUCCUCAGGCGUCCAAAAAACGUAACAAUGAGUUCAAGCCUUUGGAUGGUCACAUGUCCAAUACCACCACCUUCAGAAGGGGUAUGGUGUGGCAUCCAUGCUGUAUGUAGGCUUAAAUUCAUCGAACCACCUUCCGCUCCCAGUACACUGCCAAGAAUGCCCCCCAGGCCACCAGCUUCAAGCCAGCCCAGAUGGUAAUGAGAUCUCAGACUAUAGAUGACAGCACCGUGUGUCGCACCAGCUACACCAUCAGAGAGCUCCGGCCCUGCCCAGCCCAGCUUCAGUGAUCCGCCCAGCUUCGAGUACAAGUCGUUGGGUAAAAAAGGCCACAUCCUCUACCGCACCGUGUCAGCAGGAGAGAAGGGCGUGACCUAUCCAUCCGCUGCCAACGCCACCGGUGCCAAGCCCAGCCACAUCGCCAAGACCAGACCGGUUAGAUCGGCCAUCCUACGUAGAGGAAAAAUAAUUUUUGGAUAAUAAUCAAAAAUAAUCCAUUAGGUACCAGAAUAAAAGGACACAGAUUUGAUAUCAGGGCUAUUUCUUGCACCAGAAAUAUAAUACCUAAUAUACUGCCUGUUGUUUGUAUUCAGAGGUAACAUGAAGAUCUGCAAAUUGAAG
rnacentral:lncRNA from 1 species